AAGAAAGAAAGAAAGAAAGAAAGAAAGAAAGAAAGAAAGAAAGAAAGAAAGAAAGAAAGAAAGAAAGAAAGAAAGAAAGAAAGAAAGAACACGGAGACCACCCUGUCCAAUAUACAAAGUGUUCAGAACAACCGACAUAAAGAGCCCACUCCUGCGAGCCCUCCUCAUGCCGGGGACCGAGGAGCAAGCCAAGUCUGCUUCCCCAGAGCCUCCUUGCAGCCCGAGCGAGCUGCAUCUCCGACCCCGUGCCCGAAGCGAGCGGCAGCCCCUCGGCCCGGCACCUCCUCCUCCUGCCCAAGCCCCGGGCAUGGAGAAGCCGAAAUCGGCUUUGCUCCGAGGCUCGCCAAGUGCCUUCUCGUAGACGGGCGUAUAGCUGUUUAUGUCUUUUGUGCUACCUCCAGCAUUUUGCUAUGGUUACAAGGAGGCCCCGGGGGGGCUGAGGGGGGAGAGGGGAGGAUGUUGCGCUUUUGUAGGCCCUAAAAAUCGCAUCCGCAGCUCAUCUCGCCGAGCCCGAGAUUCCGCUAUAAGCCAAGGGGUGCGGUGGAAGCGCGGUGCGAGGAGCGGGCUGCGGCGGGGCGCCGAGCAGGCAUCGCGGCACAGCACGGCUCGGCACGGCUCGGCACGGUCAGAUGCCAGGAGGUACUGCCUCUACCUGCGACAAAGGCGCACGAUGGCACUUGGGGACGGGAGUCCUCCGCCGGCACCGGCAGCUGCUGCUUUACAACCUGUAGAGAUAAGACGGCCUCCCAUCAGAUGAUCGCAGAGAUAAGUAAUCUCUCCCCUCGGUCCCUCGUAUAGUUGACCGUAUGCGCUUGAAUCUUAGAGCGCUAAGUCUUUCCUGUGAAUGAACGAGAAAACACUCGACAGGUCGUGAAUAAUCGUUUUAAUGAGUGUGUAAAAGCGUGCGACGGGGUGCACGGAGCUGUCGGGUUAAACAAACAACUUGUACCCUGACGAAAUCCGAUUGUUAAAGUGCAAAGUGGUGUCAGUCCAAUUUCCAUCCCAGUUCUAAAUACCACAGAUCUAAGUCGCGGGAGUCCAAUUUUCCCCAUUAAGAAAAAUAACAAUAUUUUCUGAACGUAAGUGCGACCGUCCCUUAUGUUAGCCUUUGACGAAAAAAAAAAAAAAAAAAAAAAAAAGACCAUUUGAAUAUUCAAAAGGUAUCGAAGCUCCUUCCAUUAUUUUCUUAUUAUUUUAAAAAAAUGAAUUUAAAAGUGUGUUUGACAUUUUCCUAGAUAUUAUCAGAAUAAUACGGUAAAUAUUUUCCCUCUGUGUUCUCCCCCCCGUAUGUUUUUUCACAGAUCACUGGAGGCAAACAUCGAAUUAAUUGGAUCUCAGUGACUGAGAUCGGUAACAUUGUGCUGAACUGAGGUUAUCUCUGACAUUACGUCCAGGUGUCUGCAAGAAUUUUUAGGCAUUUCUAGAAAAGAUCUCUCCUCCUGUCUGCCGAGAGGGUUGAACUGUAAAUCUGUCUCAAAUGAUGUACCCCUAAAAUGUAGGUAUCUGUGGAGGAAGAAGGUGCCGCGACGAGAACCGCCUGCCAGCCAGAGCGGGGAACUGCCCGGCAGAAGGCUACGUGAUGGACGAGGGCUGCGUGGUCACGAUGGCAGAGCGGGACGGCGUGCUGGCACCAAACGCGUGUUUUUUUUUUUUUUGUUCGCUACAACCAAAAAGAAACAUGGAGGGGGGCGAGGAGGGAAAGCAGUGGGGGCUGGGAGGGAGAGAUCAGAGAAGUUAGUGGCUGUCUGGAGUGUAAACACGAGUCCAUCAGCUCCUCGGGAGAAGGGCGGCUGCGCUCGACAGACCCGCGGAGCCGCAGGACGCAGAAGGGGCGGAGGCGCCCCCGGCCCACCCCGGGCCCCCGCCGCUCGUCCGAAGCCCCGAGGGCUGCAGGGCAGCGCUGGGCACCGCAGCCAGUCCCGAACGUCUCCCCGGGUCCAUCCGGGCUCCUCGAUGACCGCAGUGCCGUCGGAGGGACGCAGAGAUCAUCCCAGGCUUGGGGAUGGGACAGGACGCGGAGGGGGUGGCAUGAAACAGCCUUAGGGCUGCAAACCCCAUUUAAUUCCUCGCUUAGCUUGGUGCAGAUCUCCCGCUCCUCCCUCGGACUUCGCUGGGAAGGCUGCAGUGGCCGAGCCCGUCCGUCUUGCGUUGCUUGUGACCGCGCACUGUACUGCCGCCGUGCCAAUAAACGCUCCGAGCACGGCUCAAUUUGGCGGCCAGAGCUGCUCCGGCCUCUCCGCUCCGGCCCGGCCCUGCUCGGCCCGGCUCUGACCCGGCCCGGGGCUGCGGGGUCGCUUUCGGGUGCUCUUCGUGCAUGGGCGGGGGGCUGCUGUGCCUCCAUCGUUUUGCACCGGCACCCAGACCCAUACCCUUGCAUGGGUCUGCCUAGGCCUGCGAUGCAACCGGCGCUCCCAGGGGUGCACCCGGCAAUAGGAUGCGGUUAAACCAAGUUUUCCUUUGCGCCCCGACACCGAUACACGGUGCGAGGGGCUUGGCAGUCGUGCAGCGCCGGCGGUCGGUGUUCACCCCGGGCAGCAGCAACAGGGAGGAGAAAUGGAACGUGGGUGCUCCCAGCGUCCACUGCCCACUUUCCCCAAAAGUUCAGAAGAGAGAAGGCCAGGAAAAGAGAAAAAAGAGGGAAGAUCUAUACAAGUGUAGAGAGCGUUCAGGUCUCUAUGUAUUAUUAUUAUUAUUAUUAUUAUUAAUCAUAAAAUCCCAGCAAAACAACGGCUCUCUUGUAAGGGAAAUCUGAGGAGCGUAGUGAGCUAAGUGGAAGCUCUGUUUCCAAGGCAAGGCAGGAUUAGUUCACUGCACAUAAUAGCCAGUGUGUAGGAAUUGCAAAUGAACAUCACCAGCAGUGCUGGAGUUACCCUCCUUAAUUUAAUAUCGAGCCAGCUUCCUUGCACAACGUGUAAAUAACAAACAUUUCUUAGCUUUCGAGGGGAAGGAAGAUUUUAAUUUAUUUAUAUAUGUGUGUAUUUUCCCGUGAUUUAAUUCAAGAAACUCCUUUCCCACUGUAUCCAGACAGCAGUGCAGGAAUUUGGGAUGCUGGCCCCUCAACCUGCUUUGCCUGAUUAAAACAAAAACCAAACAAACAUAAAACCCUAAACAAACAACAACAACAACAAAAAACGAGCAACAAAAAACUCACAACCAACCAAAACCCACAACCAACUCAACCCAACCACCAACCAUAAAAACAAAUAAACGAACAGAAAAAAAAAAUUACACCCUCAUCGAUCCAGGGCAAGCCACGGGUGAUGCGCAGCCGUGCCCGCCGGCAGCCCCGUGGCAGCAGCACGGACCGGGCGCCCCAGCGCUUGCCCUGCCUAGGGUUUGACCCCGACGAGCAGAGCCUCCUGCGGCUCCGAGCAGCGGGGGCUGCUGGCGCACUCUCCCAGGGUAUCAUUGUAGACGCAGGCCCGUAAAUCUCGGGUGAAACAAUGUUUCUAUCCCGUCAUCAGGCAUGCAAAGAGGAGAAAGUAAUACAUUUGAUCUUCCGCUGCAAAGAGGGGAGAAAGAGAGAUUGUAGGCUCCAGGACUCCUUCAAACACUUCAGGAAUUAGUGGGGGAGGGGAAGAGGCUAGGAAGGAUGGAUGCGUUAAGAUGGUAAAAUAAAAACAUGAUAUGAAGAUAUAUUUACUGUCAUCUCAGAGCCAAAACAUUUAUGCUCCCACGUCUUUUUUUUUUUUUUUUUGAACAAAUAGGGACUGAAGUGAUGCAUUUUAAUUAUUUUAGGAAAAUAAGCGCGAAGGCUCGUUUUCAGAGUCUAAAUAAAUAACAGUGUUCUGUGCUGAUGAUGUCUCUAGCUCAUGAUGGCCUCAUCUAUGCAGCCACUACUAUGAGCUCUGAAAACCUGGGAAGAAUGGGGUGUUACUGGCAAUUUCUGAAAGGAACUAUCCAUUAUUUGUGAGGUUUUCUGAAACAGAACAUGCAAAGAAUUUUGUGACAGUCUGAGAGGUGAAAAGGGGGCAAAUAUUUUCCUAAAGCUUCAGCUCAGAAUGAUGAGUACCUAAUCUCGUUAUUGUUUUAAGACGAGGUGAGGAGCAAUUUUCCUUAUUUUUCAAAUAGUUAUUUCAACUCUUUUCCUCAGUGGUGCGGAAAGGACACGUUUCCCUACUAUACAAGGAGCUGGAUGCCUUGCAGUCUCUCAGAUCAGCUUUUGUUUUGUUUUGUUUUGUUUUGUUUUCCACUGCCUGAUAUAAUUCCCGAUAACUUCGUUCCUGCAUACAAUGUGUCCUUAAUCUCUUACAGAUUGCAGGGAGCUUUCUGAAGGACAGUGAUAUUAUUUUUCUUUUGGGAAGAGGGGAGGAGGGAAAUACUCCCUUCACCUAGAAGUAGAAUCUACUUAUGUGUAGUCAGGAAAAAAAGGAAAAAUAAAGAAAAAAGAAAAAAAUGAAAAAAAUGAGUUAGAACGCAGCAAAGAGAGACCCUUCAAGCUCUCUGUGUAAAAAAAAAAAAAAAAAAAAAAAAAAAAAAAAAAAAAAAGAAAGAGG